GACGAACGCUGGCGGCGUGCUUAACACAUGCAAGUCGAACGGAAAGGCCCUGCUUUUGUGGGGUGCUCGAGUGGCGAACGGGUGAGUAACACGUGAGUAACCUGCCCUUGACUUUGGGAUAACUUCAGGAAACUGGGGCUAAUACCGGAUAGGAGCUCCUGCUGCAUGGUGGGGGUUGGAAAGUUUCGGCGGUUGGGGAUGGACUCGCGGCUUAUCAGCUUGUUGGUGGGGUAGUGGCUUACCAAGGCUUUGACGGGUAGCCGGCCUGAGAGGGUGACCGGCCACAUUGGGCCUGAGAUACGGCCCAGAGUCCUACGGGAGGCAGCAGGGGGGAAUAUUGCACAAUGGGCGGAAGCCUGAUGCAGCAACGCCGCGUGCGGGAUGACGGCCUUCGGGUUGUAAACCGCUUUCGCCUGUUACGAAGCGUGAGUGACGGUAAUGGGUAAAGAAGCACCGGCUAACUACGUG
rnacentral:rRNA from 1 species